GUUUAUGCUUUCGUCGAAAACUCUGCGAGCGUCUACUGUUUAAUCUAUGGCGGACACCGUUUUAAGUACCAAAGCCGGGAUCACGGCAUGAAAAUGUAUGUGCACAUGUAUUCCGGUGGAUGCUCGCUGGGUUUUGGACGAAAUGUCUAAAC
rnacentral:pre_miRNA from 1 species